UGGGGAAUAUUGCACAAUGGGGGAAACCCUGAUGCAGCCAUGCCGCGUGUGUGAAGAAGGCCUUCGGGUUGUAAAGCACUUUCAGCGAGGAGGAAAGGGUGGCGGCUAAUACCUGUCAUCUGUGACGUUACUCGCAGAAGAAGCACCGGCUAACUCCGUGCCAGCAGCCGCGGUAAUACGGAGGGUGCAAGCGUUAAUCGGAAUUACUGGGCGUAAAGCGCACGCAGGCGGUUCGAAAGUCAGAUGUGAAAGCCCCGGGCUCAACCUGGGAACUGCAUUUGAAACUGUCGGACUAGAGUCUUGUAGAGUGGGGUAGAAUUCCAGGUGUAGCGGUGAAAUGCGUAGAGAUCUGGAGGAAUACCGGUGGCGAAGGCGGCCCCCUGGACAAAGACUGACGCUCAGGUGCGAAAGCGUGGGGAGCAAACA
rnacentral:rRNA from 1 species